UACGUAGGGCGCAAGCGUUAUCCGGAAUUAUUGGGCGUAAAGCGCUCGCAGGCGGUCCGAUGCGUCGUGCGUGAAAGACCCCGGCUCAACUGGGGAGGGUCGUGCGAUACGGUCGGACUCGAGGCCAGUAGGGGACGCGGGAAUUCCGGGUGUAGUGGUGGAAUGCGUAGAGAUCCGGAGGAAUACCAGAGGCGAAGGCGGCCAACUGGGCUUGAUCUGACGCUGAGGUGCGAAAGCGUGGGGAGCGAACAGG
rnacentral:rRNA from 1 species